rnacentral:hammerhead_ribozyme from 1 species
AUUCAGCUGACGAGUCCCAAAUAGGACGAAACGCGUGUCCUGCAU